rnacentral:pre_miRNA from 1 species
AAUAAGUUCUUUUUUCGUUUUUGGUUACAAUGUUUGAUUAUUUGUUUUAUUUGAAAUAUUUUUGUGAUUAAUAUUUUUAUUGUUAUUAGAUGAUAAAAGAUGAUUAAUAUUUUACGUGUGACUAAAUUUUUUGAGUUUUUUUAAAUCAAAUAAGAUGGAUAGUCAAACAAUGGAGACAAAAACC